GACGAACGCUGGCGGCGUGCUUAACACAUGCAAGUCGAACGGAAAGGCCCUGCUCUUGUGGGGUGCUCGAGUGGCGAACGGGUGAGUAACACGUGAGUAACCUGCCCAUGACUUUGGGAUAACUUCAGGAAACUGGGGCUAAUACCGGAUAGGAGCUGCUGCUGCAUGGUGGGGGUUGGAAAGUUCCGGCGGUUGGGGAUGGACUCGCGGCUUAUCAGCUUGUUGGUGGGGUAGUGGCCUACCAAGGCAUUGACGGGUAGCCGGCCUGAGAGGGUGACCGGCCACAUUGGGACUGAGAUACGGCCCAGACUGCUACGUGAGGCAGCAGUGGGGAAUAUUGCACAAUGGGCGGAAGCCUGAUGCAGCGACGCCGCGUGCGGGAUGACGGCCUUCGGGGUGUAAACCGCUUUCGCCUGUGACGAAGCGUGAGUGACGGUAAUGGGUAAAGAAGCACCGGCUAACUACGUG
rnacentral:rRNA from 1 species